UUGUAGGAGACAUUUAGGAAAAGCUAGACAACUUCACUACUCCUCCUCUCUUGUGCGCUAGCAAGAGAGGUAAGAUACCUUAUCAUUCCAAGUUUAAAUCCAUCAUCAACCUUGUACCAUUCCCAGCCACAUAACCGGAGAAGACCUUCAAGCAUUGGAGGCAACCUUCAACACUCUCUUCCUCGGUUUCUCCCUUCAUCAAGAAGCUGGAAGUCGGCCCUUUCGCUCUUGGAAACUCACCUCUUUAAGCUCUCCAUUUUCUCCCCUUCGUAUACAAGUGUAACCUUGCAAAGGACAAGUUCCCAAGCCUCAAGGAGAACAAAUUAAUUUGGAGGUUUAUUUGGUUAAGUACCUCAAGGAAUGUGGAAGGAAAAGCGUAGAAAAAGGGGAUAAAUGAAUCUAUAACUUAUGUAAUGGCUGUAUUUUAUUGUUUGUGGUAUUACCUUGUUCGAUCUUGUGGAGCUGCUGCCC